rnacentral:lncRNA from 1 species
GCUCCGGGCCGCCGGCCCUCGCUUGGCGCGGAGACCUGGCUGCGAGACCAAGCGUGGCUUUGAUUCUGGCGCCUGCGUGUCAGCAGCGCGGCGUGGCCGGGAAAGCUGGGCCCCGCUCUGGGGGUCCCCCUGAUGGGCCUGAGAGGAAAACGCUUUGAAAUUGAUGGGAGCUGGGAAAGCCACUGAGAGGGACGUCCUCCCCUUGAGGCUGGAUGCUACCCUGCACCCUUGAAACUAGAAAACCUGGUUGGAGUCUGCAAACCGCGAUGCAGGAUGUGGGCACCGAGAAAAAGCAAGAGAUCCCAGUCAGGACUUCGUUGGCCCAAACCACGCUUGAAAUCCAUCCAGGCAAGUUGGAGUAGAAACCUGAUGGAGAGACCAUGGAGGACUGCUGCUUAUUGGCUUGUCUCCCAUGGCUUGCUCAGCUGGCUUUCUUACAGCAUCCAGGACCAGCAGCCCAGGGGUGACAGAGUGAGCUGGUGCCACAGAGAGCUGGGCCCUCCCACUUCAAUCAUCAAUCAAGAAUGGAGAACAGGGGCUGGAGAGAUGGCUCAGCGGUUAAGAGCACUGACCGCUCUUCUGAAGGUCCUGAGUUCAAACCCCAGCAACCACAUGGUGGCUCACACCAUCUGUCAUGAGAUCUGAUACCCUCUUCUGGGGUGUCUGAAGACAGCUACA